rnacentral:rRNA from 1 species
GCAGUCGAGCGGAACGAGUUAUCUGAACCUUCGGGGAACGAUAACGGCGUCGAGCGGCGGACGGGUGAGUAAUGCCUAGGAAAUUGCCCUGAUGUGGGGGAUAACCAUUGGAAACGAUGGCUAAUACCGCAUGAUGCCUACGGGCCAAAGAGGGGGACCUUCGGGCCUCUCGCGUCAGGAUAUGCCUAGGUGGGAUUAGCUAGUUGGUGAGGUAAGGGCUCACCAAGGCGACGAUCCCUAGCUGGUCUGAGAGGAUGAUCAGCCACACUGGAACUGAGACACGGUCCAGACUCCUACGGGAGGCAGCAGUGGGGAAUAUUGCACAAUGGGCGCAAGCCUGAUGCAGCCAUGCCGCGUGUGUGAAGAAGGCCUUCGGGUUGUAAAGCACUUUCAGUCGUGAGGAAGGUGGUGUAGUUAAUAGCUGCAUCAUUUGACGUUAGCGACAGAAGAAGCACCGGCUAACUCCGUGCCAGCAGCCGCGGUAAUACGGAGGGUGCGAGCGUUAAUCGGAAUUACUGGGCGUAAAGCGCAUGCAGGUGGUUUGUUAAGUCAGAUGUGAAAGCCCGGGGCUCAACCUCGGAAUUGCAUUUGAAACUGGCAGACUAGAGUACUGUAGAGGGGGGUAGAAUUUCAGGUGUAGCGGUGAAAUGCGUAGA